CGAGCAAUGUUUCCUCUGUGUAUGAUAUUAGUGUGGCGACUUGCUCACUGAAUCCACGAGCAAUGUUUCCUCUGUGUACGAUAUUGGCGUGUUCUUGUUGAUAUAGUUCACAAAUUCCCUGUCUUUGAAUCUGGGUUUGUUCCGAGAGGCGAAUUAUAUAAGAUUUUUUGUGUGCAUGUGUGUGUGGCCGCAGUAAAGGGAUCAGUGCUUACCGAUUCCUCUAUGUAAAGUACUAGCUUGUUCUUGUUGAUAUAGUUCACAAAUUGAGGCUCUUUGUAGUUUAUUAUUCACAGGAGUUUUUUUUUAGCAAUUGUGCCCUAUGCAAGCUUAAGUUUAUCUGCUUGUGAGGUUAUGUUGCCUGCUAUAAGCUUUCACCGUGUCUAUCUAUAUCAAAUUUUGGACUCCCAGAUGCUAUAUACAAGUUAACAUUAAUUUGAGUUCUUUGCACAAUAUCAGUCACUCUCAGGGCUUAGUAGGUGUGUGUUUUCAGUAGUAAACUUUCACUGUCUAUCUAUAUCAUUUUCAGACGCCCAGAUACUAUAUACAAGUUAACAUUAAUCAAGUUCUUGGCAUAAUAUCAGGCACUCUCAGGGCUUAGUAGGUGUGUGUUUUCAGUAGUAAACUUUCAUUGUCUAUCUAUAUCAUUUUCAGACUCCCAGAUGCUAUAUACAAGUUAACAUUAAUCUAAGUUUUUUUAGUAACAUCAGUCACUCUCAGGGCUUGGUAAGUGUGUGUGUUUUCUGUGGUAAUCUUCAACUGUCUAUCUAUGUUAUUUUCAGACUCCCAGAUGCUAUAUACAAGUUAACAUUAAUCUCUCUAAGUUUUUUUUAAUAACAUCAGUCACUCUCAGGGCUUUGUAGGUGUGUGUUUUCUGCAGUAAACUUCCACUGUCUAUCUAUGUUAUUUUCAGACUCCCAGACGCUAUAUACAAGUUAACGUUGAUCUAAGUUUUUUUAAUAAUACCAGUCACUCUCAGGGCUUCGUAAGUGUGUGUGUUUUUUGCAGUAAACUUCCACUGUCUAUCUAUGUUAUUUUCAGACUCCCAGACGCUGCAUGCAAGUUAACGUUGAUCUGACUUUUUGCAAGAAGUCUCCCCCACUCUCAAGGCUUCAUUUCCGCUGCAAUAACUUUUUUCUCUCUUCCUUCUUUCUCCUUUUGUGUAUGUUUUCCUGAAGGCACUGCAGCUCUCUCUCUCCCUCUCUUAAGCACACACACACACACCUUUACAAUAACCUUUCUCUUUUUUUUUCUCCUUUUCUAGACGAAUUUACUUCUGAAGGCACUGCAGGAAUAACCUUUUCUGUGCAUGUUUUCCUGAAGGUACUGCAGCAAACUCUCUCUCUCUCUUAAAUGCACAAA